rnacentral:rRNA from 1 species
GCCGCGGUAAGACGUAGGGCGCGAGCGUUGUCCGGAUUUAUUGGGCGUAAAGAGCUCGUAGGCGGCUUGUUGCGUCGACUGUGAAAACCCGCGGCUCAACCGCGUGGCUUGCAGUCGAUACGGGCAGGCUAGAAUUCGGUAGGGGAGACUGGAAUUCCUGGUGUAGCGGUGAAAUGCGCAGAUAUCAGGAGGAACACCGGUGGCGAAGGCGGGUCUCUGGGCCGAUACUGACGCUGAGGAGCGAAAGCGUGGGGAGCGAACAGGAUUAGAUACCCUGGUAGUCCACGCUGUAAACGUUGGGCGCUAGGUGUGGGGGACCUCUCCGGUUCUCUGUGCCGCAGCUAACGCAUUAAGCGCCCCGCCUGGGGAGUACGGCCGCAAGGCUAAAACUCAAAGGAAUUGACGGGGGCCCGCACAAGCGGCGGAGCAUGCGGAUUAAUUCGAUGCAACGCGUAGAACCUUACCUGGGUUU